rnacentral:rRNA from 1 species
CGAGCGAAGCUUUUCAGUAGUUUACUACAGAAAAUGACUGAGCGGCGAACGGGUGAGUAACGCGUGAGCAAUCUACCUUAGUUACAGGGAUAGCCCGAGGAAACUCGGAUUAAUACCUGAUAUUCUUUACAUUUCGCAUGAAAUCAAAAGGAAAGGUCAGCCGAACUAAGAUGAGCUCGCGUUCUAUCAGCUAGUUGGUGAGGUAAAAGCUCACCAAGGCAACGACGGAUAGCUGGUCUGAGAGGACGAUCAGCCACACUGGGACUGAGACACGGCCCAGACUCCUACGGGAGGCUGCAGCAGGGAAUAUUGCGCAAUGAGCGAAAGCUUGACGCAGCGACACCGCGUGUGGGAUGACGGAUCUAGGUUUGUAAACCACUUUCAGGAGGGAAGAAAAUGACGGUACCUCCACAAGAAGCCCCGGCCAACUACGUGCCAGCAGCCGCGGUAAUACGUAGGGGGCGAGCGUUGUCCGGAUUUAUUGGGCGUAAAGAGCUCGUAGGCGGUUCAACAAGUCGGUCGUAAAAGUUCAGGGCUCAACCCUGAAAUGUCGAUCGAUACUGUUGUGACUAGGAUACGGUAGAGGUGAGUGGAAUUCCGAGUGUAGCGGUGAAAUGCGUAGAUAUUCGGAGGAACACCAAUUGCGAAGGCAGCUCACUGGGCCGCUAU